GCCGAGGUAGCUCAGAGGUAGAGCAACUGCAUGGUAAGCAGUAGGUCACGGGUUCAAUUCCCGUCCUCGGCUCCA
rnacentral:tRNA from 1 species